UACGUAGGGGGCAAGCGUUGUCCGGAAUCAUUGGGCGUAAAGAGCGUGUAGGCGGCCUGAUAAGUCGGCUGUGAAAGUCAAGGGCUCAACCCUCGAAUGCCGGUGGAUACUGUCGGGCUAGAGUGCGGAAGAGGCGAGUGGAAUUCCUGGUGUAGCGGUGAAAUGCGCAGAUAUCAGGAGGAACACCAAUUGCGAAGGCAGCUCGCUGGGACGGUACUGACGCUAAGGCGCGAAAGCGUGGGGAGCGAACAGG
rnacentral:rRNA from 1 species